AUGCAAUAAUAAAGAUAUAUUGAUGUUAGGUUUCUUGCCUUGCCUGUUGCGAAUUAAAAUGUGUUGAGCUUUUGGCUGCACUGUUUGGGAUAAAUUUUGUUUUGUAUGCUUUUAUUUUGAGAGUAUAAUGUUAAGUUGCAAAUUCGUUAAGUUCUCUGUAUUGUAUGUUCGGUGUACUUGUUAACUAGAAGUUAUUUUUCAAGAGACACUAUUGCGUUAUUUGACUGAAUAAGACCACUGCUUUUUGGGUGUAUCCAUCAUGAGUAACGUGAACGAAAGUCUCGUCAGCGUGCUGGAGUGCCCCAUAUGCACUGAGUUCAUGGCCGCGCCAAUCACCCAAUGUAGUAAUGGCCAUAACAUCUGUGGUGAAUGCAAGAAGAAGAUCAACAGGUGUCCAUCCUGCCAAGGGUUCUUCAUUACACGCAAUCGUGCCCUUGAGCUAAUCGCAGAAACCACACAUUUCCCUUGCGAAAAUGUAGAGUUUGGUUGUGUUGACACCAUGCUCCUGAGCAAGAGAGACCAGCAUGUGCGAGCGUGUCCGUAUCGCCUGUACGAGUGCGUUGUCGGCAAAAAUAAAGGUUGCAAGUGGGCUGGCAGAAAGACCGAGAUUCUCGCUCACGUUCAAGAGAAGCACAACGAAGUCGCAUGGAUGAAGGGGGAGAAAAUUUCUGUGGUGGGCAGUUUGAAACUGCCGAAAGAGCUACGGGAUAGCCAACUGUUGCAAGCUCAUGGUGAAAUAUUUUGGUUUCACCAACACUACAGUUCUACUGAUGAAAUAGUUUACAGCGCAGUCCAGUACAUAGGACCAGCAGAGGUGGCCAAAAAAUUCACGUACAAAAUCACAUUUGGAUCAGUGUUGAAUUCUGAGAAGGCAUCCAUGACAUGCUUCACGCAUGCUGAUCUGGAAGACAAAGAAAAGAUUUUGAAGCCAGAUAAGUGUGCCUUUGUGGAAUUUUGGAAAUUAAAUAAAUUGGUAAAUGAUGGCAAAGUUAAGUUUGAAAUAAAAAUUAAAAAAGUUUCUGGCUAAAUUUUUAAUUGCUUGAUAUAUGCAAUCUUUUGGCUGUUGGCCAUUUUUGAAAUGUUUAUAUUUAAAAUGCUAGAUCAUGUCUUUCAUUUGUAAUCAUUUUUAAAAUUUUGAAAGAAUUAUGUGCCUUUAGACAAAAAUGUAUUAUAAGAAAUUGUUACAUGGUAGUCAAAACAAAUAAAGAAUGUUAGCUUUUCAGUGCCUUAAUUGUAAUAACAUAUUUGUUAAAUAUUCAUAAAAGAAUUCAGAUUGACUCUUGAUUUUGUAAUGAAACCCAAACUAUUUUUUAUUGUAUAGUUUGGCUAUAUAUUUGUUCAUAAGCAUUGUUUUCUAUGAUGGUAUUUUAAUCAGUUAAUUUGUAUAUGUUCUAGUAUAACAUUUUGAAUUUUUUAAAAAUAAUAUUUUGGUGUUACGUAUAUAAAGUCUGCAUGAACUAAAACAUCUCAUUUAAUAGUAUUUGAAAACAAAUCUAUAACUUUAGAUAAAUGUUUUAUACUGUCUGUAACCAUGCUCAUGACUAUUCUAAUACACAAUUUAUUGUGGUAACCAUCAUAACAUACAUAACAAUAAAGUAUUCAUCAAAA